rnacentral:lncRNA from 1 species
AUGCAGGAGUACAACGAUGCCCUUCAGAGAGCUGAAAGAUUGUCUGUUGCACGAGAAAACUUCCUUAUGGGAAAAAACAAUCCACCUAACUUAGUGACACAGGAAGACCUGACUAUCUACACAAAGUGGUUAGUGUGUCACCUACACUCACUCGAGGCUGUUCACCACUACCUGCAGGCCCUCCAGUAUCUGCCCAUCUCCAAAGUCCUGAGUGUAGUCAAUGAACUCCCUGAAGUUGGUCAGGAGGAUGAAAAGGUCCGUGUUGACGACAUCCAGGGUUCUGCAUCUCCAGGCUGUAUGGAUACCAGCAUUUCAGAGCCGACGAGAACAGAAGCUGCUUUCAUCUUGUCCCGACACGCAACAGAAACAGAAGAACUGAAACCUCAGCUGAAGCUCCUGCUCUCCCAUUUCGGUAUCCCCUAUGACGUAGAGGGGCUAAGGGACGCUGCUAAGGACACAGAACUUUUAUUCCUGGUUUCCCAAAAAUUUCAAAGCAUCUUCAUGGAGCAACAGAGAAUGCAAACAUUUCCAGAUUAUGAUGUUGGGAGAACUAAAGCAGAGAAUUUGGGUUUGGCAGGACCUAGUAUGGCCUUGAAAAAGAGAGCCAACUGGACUUCCUUUAUAAAGGUAAGGAGACCUGUGGUGACAGUCACCUCUCACUGA